AAGCGAGAGAGUGUCAGAAUUAAAUGCGAUUCUGUAUUUUAAGGCGUUUAGCACACUGCACGGUACCCGGCACAUCGCGAGCACACAGGAAACGAGCCCUUGUAGUUCUGUUGUUACCCAUACAGUCAGAAACAUCUGGGAGAUUCCUGUUUGUCACAGCAGUAACUCAGGACUUCCCCUUUGUAGAAACCUACCUCCGAAUACCCACGCCACCCGAUUUCACACUCGUGGUUUUGCUUGUUGGGGAGAUGGUGGCCCUCCACUUUACCUGGUGCCCUGGGAGUAACACUGAAGUAUGUUCUAGCUGUCGACGGUACCUUACUCUUUCCAUGCCCUCAUCGAAUGAUCUGACACAUGCUUGAAAUGCAGUUCAGUUGUGGACCGCAUCUGUUUGCCCUGAUGCUGUUAUCAGAGAAGAAAGCCCCACCGCACCACUUACAUUUGGUUCUUUGUCUGGCGCUUUAUUCUGCAAGUGUUUUCUUUUGCUCUGUGUCCUUGGGGUGCCUGCAGAUUCUGUUCCUGACGAGAGCCCUCUUCCUCGCCUGGAGAUAAGCCUUCUCUCUGUGCCCUCCCUUGGCAGAGAAAGAUGUCUUCUCUGCCCAAAAACCGAUGAGUUCUGCCGUGAAGGCCUCACCCUCAUGACCUCAUCUAGCCCUGACCACCUCCCCAAAGUCCCGUCUCUACCAUGACCCUGGGGGUUAGGGCUUCCACACACGGUUUUGGGGGGAGGAAACUGGUGUAGAGAAGUGAUUAAGGUAUUUGCUGCCUUUAUGUCCUGCUUUUUUGUAUUCUACCAUUUUCAGACCAUUCUUGAUGGUCAUCUCCAGCUGGUCACGCAGGUUGUUUGAGGCAUCUUGAAGGUAUCUUCACUGACUCAUCACAUAGGCACAGAGCUAAGGUUUAGAAGCCAGUGAGGUGGUUUUGUGCUUAGAAGCUCGCAGAGCACAGCUGUACUUUCUUAACUGGGAGGAAAAACAAGUCCAUGCAGAUGGUGUCGCUGGGAGUCAUUGUCUCUUUGGGCAUGGGACUCCGGGAAGAUGCAAAAUCAGGAUCUGGGCAAGAAGGAUGCUCGCCAAGAUUCCUUUCAAGGCUAAUGACGUACUUUAUGUGCUGCUGAAGUUGACAUUGCAGAUAAUGAAGUUUUGUCCUCUGAUGAAGUUAAUCUUCGUUGUGAGCAUAGUUAAUUUCCCUUCAGGUGUGGCCCUGUACUGAAAGGAAGCUGUUGAUGUAAUUACUUGUAUUUAGCAUCAUGUUUAAAUGUAAUGCCAAAACACAUUUUUUCCAUAUUAAAAAGUUCUCUGAAAUCAGGAUAUGUCUUAAAUCAAUGAUGCAUUUUGGUUAAUUACUCCCUUUGGUUUUUUAUUUUCUUUCCUGUUAUGUAGUAUUUCUUUUCUAUUGCUUAUUCUUACAGUCGUGUAUUUUAUAACGGGUGGCACAGAGUAGUGAACUGCAGUACUGAAAGCUGUGGUGAUGUGUACCUGAGUGAGCUCUUCUGUUAUUAGCUCAUUUAGUGCGCUUAGUGACCUGUCAUCAUGUUCGGUUUACAGAAGGGAUGUGAAAUGACAAGCUCAAGGUCAUUUUUUCUCUGUUAGUUGAUUUCUUCGUUAAUUUUUCCAUGAAAUAAACACACAUAGUUUUCUUAAAAUACCAAGCCACAAAUCUUUUGAUAACUCUCAAGACUGCAUAUUUUAGAGGAAAACAUGGAUGAAUUCUGCCAUGAACUUCACAGGAAUUUAAAUCACAAGGUUGUUGGAUGAAAGGUCUAUCCUCUUGUAUUUGCUGGUGCUCCGUAUGAGAUGUGUUCACCGUUUUGUCCUUCACAGUCCUGGAAGAGGAAGAGCUGAAAUGAACAGCUGAAAUGACUCACCUGGGUUUGUGGCUUCCUCCACUUUCAGUCUUCUCAGCCCUCCAUAGCUCAGGCUGCUUAGCUCUUGCUUGUAGGUUCAUUCUCAUCUCAUUCUCUGAGGGGACUCUUAGAGGGAAUUUCAGAAACCCAGGCAAUUAAUUAUCUUGGUUGGCUAAGCCUGAAAUUAGCCGUGAUUCUUGUCCUGCUCUUUACCAGAUCUGGGUUCCGCUCACUGAGGUCCCUUGUGAACAAGCUUUGAACCUAGUUAGCUUGCCUGCCUUUUCUCAUCACAUCAGUACCUCUGCCCAGGUCAUCCAGGACACAGGCCAGUCCUGCCUCCCUUGUCUCUAGACCUGUUUUCUGACGCCAGACACUGGCCCCCUGUUCUUCCUGACUUUGGGGAAGACCCGUUAAGAGCUCUGCUGGCAUGGCCUGACCCUGCCUGUUGCAUGGAGAGGACUGGGUCUUGCUUGUGGUCUCAGUUCUCUUUACUCUCUGCCCUGGGCUCUGAUUCAGGUGUCAGAGACAUGCCUGGGACACUCCCUAGCUCAGCCUUAGCCUGGCAGUCACACUUUCCAGAAUCUGCCACUAACAUUUCUUUCCAACAAUUUUGUACUACCCACUACUAUCAAACUUCCUCUCUUAUAGAAUUUUUUAUUACUAUGUUAUGAUUUCUGUAUUUGUUUAAUCUUGGCGAGCAUACUCUAAGCCCCUUGAACAGGGGGCCAUGUCUCUUAUCUUUAUAUGCUCCCACAGUGACUUACACAUGGGUGAAGGGUGGUGGAGCUGAUAAUCGUUGGGCAUCCAUGUGCACCUGGUGAUUAAAGGUCGUAAUAAACGAAAGCGUUCACAGGGAGUUGUCCUGCAUCACAUAAUCUGUGCCUCGUGGGCCGUGUGUUUGGUCUUUGGAAUGAUGCUUUUGAGUGUUUGGUUGUAUAUCUUUCCAGUCCAUCUUGUAUGUGACCUAUUAUUAACAUAGAAUUUUGCUGUGUUUUUUUCCAACUUCUGGGUUGAUUAUCUUAUGCGUGAUUUGUACAGGAAAUAUGUAUAUACCUUUGCAUUAUAUAGCUUUCUUUAUAAGUGAACGUUGAUAAUGCUUUGAGUUUUUUCCAUAGUUCAGUACUUUUUAAAACAUUUUAUUGGAGUAUAGCUUACUAACAAUGUUGUGUUGCUUUCAGGUGUACAGCAAGUGAAUCAGGUAUACAUUCUUUUUUCCCUGGUUCAAGUACUUCAGAGCUGUUUAAAUGUGUCAUUAGAAUAUGAGCCCAUGAGGACAGUGCCUUUCUUUAGCUUAUUUCUGCAUACUCAGUUCCUGGAACAAUGCCAGGCACAUAGUAGGUGCUCAAUAAAUAUUGAGAAAUAAAACUUAAAACACUCUCCUGUAAUAAUGCUUUCCUGGGGAGAGGAAAAGAAAUCACUAUUUAAAAAUCCUGCAGAUUUGGUGUAUUGUUUGCAGUUUGAUUCACCUUUAAUUUCCAAGUUGCAUGAGCUUAUAGACGCUUCACUUCGGAAGGGGACGUAAAGCUGUAUAUACUCGAGCUUCUUUUUUUACAGAACAGCUCAUGAGUAAGUAGCACACAUGUCAGUAAGUAGAAUAUUCAGGAAUUGUCACAGGAAGCACAUGACCGUGAAAUGCCAGUGAGAAAAGACCAAUUCCUCAAGCACUGCCCCACUUAGCCUGCCACUUAAAGGACUGUUUAUGUGGGAACUGUAGAAAAUUACGUUGUAUUAAAGUGAUUUGUGAUGUCAGCUGAAGGGGCACAAAAGUGGCUUGUUGUUGAUUUGAGAGAUCAGAACCAAUUCUUGUGCUGUGUUUAUUUAGCCUGUUUCUGUUCCAUGUUCUCUGCCAGUGGAAAAUGGCCUUGGGAUUAGGAGACGGAAACGGAAAUGAAAUACUUGAGCUGCGUUUGGGGCCAGAUUGCAGGUUUAGAGCACUUUCUUGGUUCAUUUGCCUAACCCUAUUUUGAUGAAAACCAUAUUUUUUUAAAAGGAAAUAUUAAUAACUUAAAUUUUGUAGUUGGCCAGUUGGCAGCAAGUACCUGGGUUGCUCACUAGUUCUUGAAGUGUUUCAGAGUAGAGUCUAUCGUUUUUCGAUUCGUGGCUAACAGCGUUUCCCAGUGAUCAAAUAUCAUAGCCUGUCUAAAAAGACCUAAAAAUAUUAAAGCGCUUUUUGUGAAGCAUGAAUUUUCUCUAUAAACUCUUCCUCGCUUUCUAGAUAAUCCUAAAUACACUAACUUACAAAGGCCUUUUCAUCCGUAAAAAGCACUAAUUGUUAAAAAUAGGAAGUUUCCUUAUUUUAAGUUGUCGUUUGUUUGCCUUACCUCCUACCUACGCAUUACUGGUGGGAUACCUGAUGCCAUCAAGAGCAUAUCUAAGAGUUCCCGCUGUGGUGCAGUGGGACCCGUGGCAUCUUGGGAGUGCUGGCUUGCCUGGCACAGUGGGUGAAGGAUCCAGUGUUGCUGCAGUUGUGG
rnacentral:lncRNA from 1 species